GCCAGAUCUCAUCCCUGGAAAAUCAAUGGCAGUGGAGGCAGCUUAAAAGUGGAUCUGACCAUGAAGGUUAGAACAUCCAGGAAUUUGAAAAUGUGGGACAUACAAACCUCAAAACAGAUGACAUGAUCUGAUGCAUCACCAAGACAUCAAGGAAAAUUAAGCUUAGGAUGAGUCUCAAGGUCUGUGCAAUUAGUCACCAUUCCUGCACACUGGCACACUGGGCAGACUGUGAAGAAGCUGUUUCUAGGAUGCUGCUGCUUGACAAGUCCCUAAAAUGCAUAAUGGAAUUGCAAGCUAAAGCCAAGGCAUACCCAUUCAACAGUGACUCACUGUGCAGGCUGGGCUGUCUCAGUCCAGGAAGAGGUGAAUGGGGCAGUGAUAGUUCUCAGUCUCAUAAAACACUUCAAGAACUUCCUGCGAAAAGGAGUAGCCCUGUUACUACAAUCUCUUACCCGCCUCCUUUCUAGCCCAGUAACAUAGAAAGAGCAAAGAACAAAAUCCCUGCAGAAAACAUAGUCCUCCUGCUCAGCAUCUAUUUCAAUCAGAAUUUGGAACCCCCACCCAUCCCUUCCUGACACAUCUGAUACAACUGGAAGUUACAAGAAUACUUUGGUGAUCUUCUCUGGGUGAGCCAAAGUGCCUUGGCUCUGGUUGGUGCAAGAUCAAACCCUCCGCAGGAAGCAGUAUCAAGUCUAAUGGACAAAGUAUUCUCUUAUCUGGAUUAUAAUCUUGGACAUCUGCUCUAAGAAGCCGUUUGCCCAUUCUGCUGUUACCACUUAGCUUCACAUAUUUGAACCAGGUAGAAUUUGUCACUGCCUGUUUUGACUAAGAAUGUAAUUUCACGUAAUAUUGUUUUGAAAAAUAUUACAAAUUUAGACAAAAGGGAAUUUUCUAGUAGAAAAAGUGCUGCCCUGGCAGAUUCCUCAGCAGAAAAGCAUGCAAGUACUCACAAAAAAAUGCAAUGAGUACCUAAAAAAAAAUUCGUAACUCUUCCUAGGAACUUGGAUUUUCUAUCUCAACAAGGAGUCAUAAAGAGGGUGGUUAACCCAUGAGUUAUUCCUUAUUGACAACACUGACCUGCUUGGGAAGGCAGAGGACAGGGCCCCUGCAUUUGCCCAUGUAGCUCACACUACAUCUGCCAAGCAGCAACUCCAUAUUCCAAGGAGACACUUCCAGAGGCAAUAGUGAACUCAGACCUGGAGCCAGUGCUAAGAGACGAAAGAAUUUGACUCAUUUGCUGAAAGUAUUUGAUCAGUCCAGCCUGCUCCUUGUUUCAGCCUGAGACCCAUGCCUGCCUGGUACAUUUAGUUAUCUUGGUUUUUUGCAGGUAAUUGUAGGUUCAAGACAUGUAUGUGUCCUCCCAAAGACAUUCUCUUAUCUUAUAAUUUUGAUUUUUAAACAGAAAUAGAAUUUAAACAAGGAGCUACCUUUUCCCACUCUGAAGUUAAACACAAAGGCUUCAUAAGGUUAAGAUAAGUACAUUUUGGUUUAAAACUUCAGGGUUCAAGAUUUGUAUGUAAUUAUAUUAUGUCCUCAGUGAACACAGACUGAUUGCUUAUUGUGUUCUUUAUUGAAAAUUCUCUAUCCAAAUUGAGUUUGAGGUUUCUCAUUGCCACAAGACAUAUAAUUCUUUCUUGACCACACUCUUAUUCUUCUGUUUGUUGUUUGGGAUUUUUUUUUUUUUUUCCAUAAUGAGCUAAUAAAAGGGAUGGUUGUAAAAUAAGUCUACAGUUUUCAUGUAAAGCUACCACAGACAGUUGAAGGCAUUUGUAUCUAAUUGAUUAAGAUGCAUGACAAGCUUCAAAUCAGAGUUCCAUUUUGGGAAGUAGUUACAUGCAUUGGCAGAUAGAUAGAAAGAUAGAUAGAAAGAUAGAUAGAUAGAUAGAUAGAUAGAUAGAUAGAUAGAUAGACAGACAGAUAGAUAGACGGAUUACAGAGUUUUAAUGGAAGGGUAUUCAAACCCUUGGAGCUCUAGAACCCUUAACAUCCUGAAUCAGUAGAAAGGAGCCUUUGCCAUUGAUAAUUCGUAUUGUAUCCUUGUUCUAUAGUCAAUUAUAAACAGGACUUUUAAGGUCUUUGAAAAUUUAAGUAUCCAAACCUGCUUUCUGUUGAGGUUUACAAACGUAUUCUCCUCUGGAAAUUAUAGGUCAUGGAUGGUUACUGUAUUUAUUUCAAGAAAAAUAUUGAAAUGACAGAUGAACCACUUAGAUGAUACCAACCUUUCUAUGCUUAAUUGUGCAUGUGUCUUAAAGGAGUUGAUUUAUCUUAAUGGCAAUGUCACUCUAAAAUGUAUCUCAUCAUGUGUAUAAAUGAGGGAGGACUUCAGCCACACACUACUUAUACUGAAGACUUUUUACUGAAGACACAACAAAUAAAGGGAUUGUUCUUAUUUGAAAACUGAAAUGUCCAUUAAAAGUCCAUUAAAUGCUAGAGAUUCCUUCCAAAAUGUAGUGUUCACAGUUUUACAGGAAAAAAAUCCACAAAUAAUAUUAGCUGGAGGCUAAAAACUGAAGCAAGAAGGACGAGUGGUCCUUGUGUCUGUAAAGCUUACUCUGUUGAACAUUGCAGAAGCGCUAUCUGAUAACAACUGUAUCCCACUCAUGCUGUCUAGCCUAUGCAACAGCUGGCACUGCUGUAAUGCAGACUCUUGGUUAUCCUGAUGGGAAAACUGAAGGUUUGAAAAC